rnacentral:rRNA from 1 species
CCUACGGGAGGCAGCAGUGAGGAAUAUUGGUCAAUGGCCGCAGGGCUGAACCAGCCAAGUCGCGUGAGGGAUGACGGUCCUAUGGAUUGUAAACCUCUUUUGUCAGGGAGCAAAGGGCGCCACGUGUGGCGCUUUGCGAGUACCUGAAGAAAAAGCAUCGGCUAACUCCGUGCCAGCAGCCGCGGUAAUACGGAGGAUGCGAGCGUUAUCCGGAUUUAUUGGGGUUAAAGGGUACGCAGGCGGAAUGUCAAGUCAGCGGUAAAAUUUCGGGGCUCAACCCCGUCGUGCCGUUGAAACUGGCGUUCUUGAGUGAGCGAGAAGUAUGCGGAAUGCGUGGUGUAGCGGUGAAAUGCAUAGAUAUCACGCAGAACUCCGAUUGCGAAGGCAGCAUACCGGCGCUCAACUGACGCUCAUGCACGAAAGCGUGGGUAUCGAACAGGAUUAGAUACCCCAGUAGUC